rnacentral:rRNA from 1 species
UAGUAAGAUUAAACUGAAGAGUUUGAUCCUGGCUCAGAUUGAACGCUAGCGGCAUGCUUAACACAUGCAAGUCGAACGGAAACGAUGGUAGCUUGCUACCAGGCGUCGAGUGGCGGACGGGUGAGUAACGCGUGAGAAUCUGCCCAGUAGCGGGGGACAACCUGGUGAAAACCAGGCUAAUACCGCAUACGCCCUACGGGGGAAAGGCUUCGGCCACUAUUGGAUGAGCUCGCGUCGGAUUAGCUAGUUGGUGGGGUAAAGGCCUACCAAGGCGACGAUCCGUAGCUGGUUUGAGAGAAUGAUCAGCCACACUGGGACUGAGACACGGCCCAGACUCCUACGGGAGGCAGCAGUGGGGAAUA